AAUUCACUAGUGAUUGAACGCGAAGAACCUUACCCACCUUUGACAUGUACGGAAUUUGCCAGAGAUGGCUUAGUGCUCGAAAGAGAGCCGUAACACAGGUGCUGCAUGGCUGUCGUCAGCUCGUGUCGUGAGAUGUUGGGUUAAGUCCCGCAACGAGCGCAACCCUUGUCAUUAGUUGCUACGAAAGGGCACUCUAAUGAGACUGCCGGUGACAAACCGGAGGAAGGUGGGGAUGACGUCAAGUCCUCAUGGCCCUUAUAGGUGGGGCUACACACGUCAUACAAUGGCCGGUACAAAGGGUCGCAAACCCGCGAGGGGGAGCUAAUCCAUCAAAGCCGGUCGUAGUCCGGAUCGCAGUCUGCAACUCGACUGCGUGAAGUCGGAAUCGCUAGUAAUCGUGGAUCAGCAUGUCACGGUGAAUACGUUCCCGGGUCUUGUACACACC
rnacentral:rRNA from 1 species